rnacentral:rRNA from 1 species
UACGGGGGGAGCAAGCGUUGUUCGGAUUUACUGGGCGUAAAGGGCGGGUAGGCGGCCACCGCAAGUCAGUUGUGAAAUCUCCGGGCUUAACCCGGAAAGGUCAACUGAUACUGCGGGGCUAGAGUGCAGAAGGGGCAACUGGAAUUCUCGGUGUAGCGGUGAAAUGCGUAGAUAUCGUAAGGAAGACCAGUGGCGAAGGCGGGUCUCUGGACAGUUCCUGACGCUGAGGCACGAAGGCCAGGGGAGCAAACGGG